rnacentral:lncRNA from 1 species
AUGUGCUGUAUGGCAAGAUCAUGGCUCUUCGCAACACGAUUUUGGAAGCUCCUAAAGGAGAGGAAAAAAAUUGAAUACCUGUCAGGGGAAGGAGUUAAGUUGACAAUUAAGACAGCUCAGUGCUCUGUCGCUGCGGCUCAGCUGGAGCAGACAGGGACAGGGAUGCUGAAGCACAGCUCUCUCCUCCCUGUGACUGCAUCAGGCAGCCUCACCAGAACCUCCCAUCUGUGUGUCUGCAGGGCCACGGACAGCCUCAGCCCUCCCUCAAGGAUGGUGCUGGUCCAGCAAGGAGAGAGGAUAUGGGUCCACUGCAGCCGGAAAAGGGAAAAUGGAUGUGAUCCUCUGGAAGCCAUGCUCUAAGUGGCCAUCUCCACUGUCAUUGAUGGAGAAGCACAGCUCAUGACUUACGAUUUCUCACAAGUAGCAGCACUGCAAUUUGAUUCAUGUGCCCUGGAACCAAUGAAGUCAGUAUGGUUGUGUGGAUGUGUCUCCUUUCUCGGAAUGGGUCAGGGUGUGACCUGCAUACAAUAGUCAUAUACAGGUACAAACAACUUACUCU